AACGAUACUAAAAUACUCGAAUGCAUUCCAAUAGAAGUAUAAUAAUCUCUCGGGUGACAAUUAAAUCACCCCCUUCAAUGACCAUCGCGUUUCACCUUCGAAUUGAGUCGUUCGUAAACGAUCUUCCGCAGAUCGGAGAAGGGAAAUACACGGCUAUCGAGGAUAAAAUAAACGAAGCGAUGCGAGCGUGUAAUGGCAACGUGGGUCGCUCAAGAGGAAAGAAAUCGGUUCGGCCGUGAAACCGCGGUCCACUCUCUUUCAUUGGACUUUAGUAGUACGUAGACGAUGGAGCAUCCAGGACGAAGGAGCAUAAAUGGAUUAGAAGGGUCCUGCCGGAUGACUAAGUUUUAGCCAGGGCAGCGCCGGCGCCAAAUCCAAUUUGAUCUUAACGUUAACUCGAUCCCGCGUACGGUUACACGGUGAAUUAAACGUCGUUGACAACGUGGAGGUAACCGAGGUCUCAAAAAUACCCUCUUAUGGGUAUAUACACCGCCGAUACAAGCCAACAAGUGGCGAGUCGAUCACUUUUUUCUUCACAAAAAUUUCUUCAAGGAUACUUUAUUUCCUUAUUCAAUUAUUCCUUUAAACUAGCAAGGUGUUCAUGAUAUCAUCAUCGUCUCAAGAUUCAUCAACACACGUAUGGGACGUAACGAGAUACAAAUAUUUAUUACCAUCCAUAUCAAUCAAGUUCCGACAUCCAUUUCAACAACCUUGUGGGACAUCAAAGCGUUCUCCUGCUUCCGUAUCGUCCUCCUUGAUCAUCCUCGUCCUCAAAGGAGAGCUCUGAAAUCUCGAUGGCUCUAUAUACAGAAGCUCGCGUAAUCGCUUCGAAUCCGAUUAUGCAUUAAAGAUCCUGCCGCUGACUUCGCGAUUUCGCGAUGAUCUUCGCGCUUUGUAAACGACCGGGGAUGUUCCAUCCUUGCCACGUACCUAACUUGAAAAGUUGCUGGAUCCCCACGACUGGUUUCCGUUGGAGAGGACCAGAGCCACGGAAGAUGAUUACGACGGUGGAGGGUGGACUGGUAAAAUUGGGGAGAACAAGGUGAAUUCGGGUGGCUCGGGUCCGGUUUAUCGAGCUGGAACAACAAGCGGCAAUCAGGCAUAACUCGAUCAUUUCAUUCUUCUACGUCCGUGCUCCGCCCUCGAUCUUCGUGGCCCUUCCUGUGUCGCCCCCGAACUGCUCGCGAUAUACACGCGUAGAGGACGAUUCAAAAGUGUGAGGAUGAAAUGGAAAUGGACGUUUGAUGGACGACUUUGGUUAAUUGGAAUAUUUAAUAAUUUGUUUUGAUGAAGAUAAUAUUUAAAAGUACAUCAGGUC